CUCUCAGGCCCGCCCCCUGCGGCCCGCAGCGGGCAGGUUGGCCUGGAUGCCGGCGACAGAGAGACUGGGGCGGCGCCCGGGGCCCCAGAGAGCCAAGACGGCGCUCACCGGAUAGAGGUAGAGCACGGCUCCCACCAACGCCAGCAAGAAGGUAACGGCGAAGAUCGCGAAGUCCAACAUGGUUCUGCCGCCCAGGGAGCCACGUCUCGGAUCGGCCGCUCCAGCAGCAGCGCCUCAGCCUGGCCCAAUUUAAGGCAUAGCGUGUGGGCGGGGGCACCCCGCGGGACCCGGAAACCAACGGGCCGCUGGGGGCGUGACCGAGGCCUGCGGCCGGCGCCAGAGGAAAGAGCAAUGGAUCGCCGAGGAGCCGGGGCGCGGGUUCCUGAGCGCAGCAGGCCGAGGCUGAGGCCGCCUAGCGCCAGCCUCCACCGCAAGGCGGGGAUUUCGGUGCACACGAUUUCAGACAGAAUAUGCCCGCGACUUCGGACCGGGUUGCUGGCGAAAGCAGAGCCCAGCUUUCUGAGAAAAGUUAGGAGUUAGUAGUGCUCUGUCCGCCCAACAGUUUUCGCAAUGGAUUCAGAAUUAAAACCUCUAAACCGAUGAUUUUCGAAGAGUGGUCCCGGUACCAGCUGCAUCAACGUCGCCCGGGAGCUCGUUAGAGAUUCAGAUUAUCGAUGCCGGGCGCGGUGGCUCCACCUGUAAUCCCAGCACCUUGGGAGGCUGAAGCGGGAGGAUCGCUUGAGCCCAGGAGUUUGAGACCAGCGUGGGCAACAUAGUGAGACCCCAGUCUCUACAAAAAAAAAAAAAAAAAAAAAAAAAAAAUUAGCCUACAGUGGUGGCGCUUGCCUGUGGCCCCAGCUGCUCCGGAGGCUGAGGCUGGAGGAUCACUUUAGCCGGGGAGGCAGAGGCUACAGUGAGCCGAGAUGGCACGACUGCACUCCAGCCUGGGCGACAGGGCGAGACCCUGUCUCAAAAACAAAACAAAACAAAACAAAAGGAAAACAAAAUAAAAAGAUUCUCGAUCCCAAACUAGACCUACUGAAUCAAACACUCGGGGUGGGCAGGGGUAGGGGGCGCGUACAACAAUCUGUUUGAACAGAGCCCUCCCGGGGACACUGUUACACACUUAAAUUUGAGUGAAAACCACCACUGAUCUAAGCGGGACAGGGAAGUGUCUGGGAGUAAAACAAGAGUAGAUACGCCUUGUUUCGCAGAAUUUCUGUCUGAAGUACUAGUAAAUGUGAUUCUUUGACACUUUCUGGUGAGCGGAGGCUGCACACUGUUCAGGUUUCCUUGCUCUGUUAACUCUGACUUUCGGUAAAUUGCUUCAGUUUUCUAAGCUUCCAUUUCCUUCUAUGUAAAAAAGUGAAAAUAAUACCACAUGGAGUUGCCUGUAGGUUAAAUUACAUAUUUUAUGAAAAUCACUUAGCACAGCUCCUGGCAAAACCGAAUAAGUGCUAUCUACGUCAGCAUUUGGCGUUUGUUGCCCUGGGCAUAAAAUACCCUAGGACCCCUCUUUCUAUUUCGCCUGGCUCAGAAGUUUUGACGUGGCUACUGAAAUACAAGACAAGGCCUGCUACUUACUAGUGCUGCUUUUAGUGAAAGUGUGCUAAAAGUAUUUAUAGAUUUUAUAGCUUUAAUAAUAUAAAAUGUCAAGAACAGGCAGCAAUUUGGCAAGAGAAAUUCCAGAUUGCAUUUUACAGCUUCUAUGAUAAAUGACUGUUACAUAAGCAGGAAACAUACCUCAUUGAAAAUGGCAACUCUUUUGGCAUCUAUAGCAAAUAUAAUGAAACAUGCUGUUUAAUAUUUCACUUGGCAGAAAUUGUAUUUUUAAGUCUUUCUCUGCAUAUAAAUGUGCUUUAAACUGUCGUAUGUUCAAAGUUCAUUUUUAAGUCUCUUGUUCAGAAUUUUAAAGAUAUUUCUUGUCAAACUGAUGUUCCCAAUAGGUUUUCAAAACAGUAAAUGUAAGAGUUUUUUGUUUGUUUGUUUUGUUUGUUUGUUUUUGAGACGUAGUCUCCCUCUGUAGCCCAGGCUAGAGUGCAGUGACGGG
rnacentral:lncRNA from 1 species